UGAUUUGAAUUAAAGAUUUAUCGGUAUAGGAUGGGGAUGCGUCUGAUUAGCUUGUUGGUGAGGUAACGGCUCACCAAGGCAACGAUCAGUAGGGGUUCUGAGAGGAAGGUCCCCCACAUUGGAACUGAGACACGGUCCAAACCCUACGGGAGGCAGCAGUGAGGAAUAUUGGUCAAUGGACGAGAGUCUGAACCAGCCAAGUAGCGUGCAGGAUGACGGCCCUAUGGGUUGUAAACUGCUUUUGUUUGGGAAUAAUCGACAUUACGUGUAAUGUUUUGCAUGUACCAUUCGAAUAAGGACCGGGCUAAUUCCGUGCCAGCAGCCGCGGUAAAU
rnacentral:rRNA from 1 species